rnacentral:rRNA from 1 species
UACGAAGGGGGCUAGCGUUGUUCGGAAUUACUGGGCGUAAAGCGCACGUAGGCGGGUUGUUAAGUCAGGGGGUGAAAUCCUGGAGCUCAACUCCAGAACUGCCUUUGAUACUGGCAACCUAGAGACUGGAAGAGGUUAGUGGAAUUCCCAGUGUAGAGGUGAAAAUUCGUAGAUAUUGGGAAGAACACCAGUGGCGAAGGCGGCUAACUGGUCCAGCACUGACGCUGAGGUGCGAAAGCGUGGGGAGCAAAACAGG